rnacentral:rRNA from 1 species
GACGAACGCUGGCGGCGUGCUUAACACAUGCAAGUCGAACGGAAAGGCCCUGCUUUUGUGGGGUGCUCGAGUGGCGAACGGGUGAGUAACACGUGAGUAACCUGCCCUUGACUUUGGGAUAACUUCAGGAAACUGGGGCUAAUACCGGAUAGGAGCUCCUGCUGCAUGGUGGGGGUUGGAAAGUUUCGGCGGUUGGGGAUGGACUCGCGGCUUAUCAGCUUGUUGGUGGGGUAGUGGCUUACCAAGGCUUUGACGGGUAGCCGGCCUGAGAGGGUGACCGGCCACAUUGGGACUGAGAUACGGCCCAGACUCCUACGGGAGGCAGCAGUGGGGAAUAUUGCACAAUGGGGGGAAGCCUGAUGCAGCAACGCCGCGUGCGGGAUGACGGCCUUCGGGUUGUAACCCGCUUUCGCCUGUGACGAAGCGUGAGUGACGGUAAUGGGUAAAGAAGCACCGGCUAACUACGUG